rnacentral:rRNA from 1 species
CUACGGGUCGCUCCAGUGAGGAAUAUUGCACAAUGGGGGGAACCCUGAUGCAGCAACGCCGCGUGGAGGAUGACGCAUUUCGGUGUGUAAACUCCUUUUAUAUGUCAAGAAAAUGACGGUAGCAUAUGAAUAAGCACCGGCUAACUCCGUGCCAGCAGCCGCGGUAAUACGGAGGGUGCAAGCGUUACUCGGAAUCACUGGGCGUAAAGGACGCGUAGGCGGGUUGGAAAGUCAGGUGUGAAAUCCUACAGCUUAACUGUAGAACUGCAUUUGAAACUUCUAAUCUAGAGUAUGGGAGGGGGAGAUGGAAUUAGUGGUGUACGGGUAAAAUCCGUAGAUAUCACUAGGAAUACCUAAAGCGAAGGCGAUCUCCUGGAACAUUACUGACGCUAAGGCGUGAAAGCGUGGGGAGCAAACAGGAUUAGAUACCCGAGUAGUC